GACGAACCGUGCAGACGUUGUUCGGAUUCACUGGGCUUAAAGGGCGCGUAGGCGGGUGUCCAAGUCUGGGGUGAAAUCCUUCGGCCCAACCGGAGAACAGCCUCGGAUACUGGAUGUCUCGAGGGGGGUAGGGGCACGCGGAACUUCCGGUGGAGCGGUGAAAUGCGUAGAUAUCGGAAGGAACGCCGGUGGCGAAAGCGGCGUGCUGGACCCCUUCUGACGCUGAGGCGCGAAAGCCAGGGGAGCGAACGGGAGUUAGAUGACCC
rnacentral:rRNA from 1 species